rnacentral:lncRNA from 1 species
AAAAUAGGAAGUUACACUAUGUUGUCAAUAAGGGGAGAUAAUCUUAUGCUGACAUGAAUUAUUAUUGAUAUGGUCAUAUUUAUAAAUUAACUGUUGACAAAACUUUUGAAUUUUUGAAAUACUAAAGCUUCUCUACCUCAGGAAUAGAUUACUGUAGCUGUAUUUGGCAAAACUUUUAGGAAUUUUGGUCCUCAAUGCGCUUCAACAUCGUACUUUAUUUUGCAUUUUUAACUUUUUAGGAUUCAAGAGUCACUGAUAAGUCUUUUGUAGACGAAAGGCGUGUCUGGCAUAAAUACAAAAUUUAAUCCUGGUAUCUAUGAUGAGUUUACUUAUAUAAUUUAUUCAUCAUAUUGAUUAAACUCAC